CUCCGGCUAACUUCGUGCCAGCAGCCGCGGUAAUACGAAGGGGGCUAGCGUUGCUCGGAAUUACUGGGCGUAAAGGGCGCGUAGGCGGAUACUUAAGUCGGGGGUGAAAGCCCAGGGCUCAACCCUGGAAUUGCCUUCGAUACUGGGUAUCUUGAGUACGGGAGAGGUGUGUGGAACUCCGAGUGUAGAGGUGAAAUUCGUAGAUAUUCGGAAGAACACCAGUGGCGAAGGCGACACACUGGCCCGUUACUGACGCUGAGGCGCGAAAGCGUGGGGAGCAAACAGGA
rnacentral:rRNA from 1 species